GAUGAACGCUGGCGGCGUGCCUAAUACAUGCAAGUCGAGCGAACAGACGAGGAGCUUGCUCCUCUGACGUUAGCGGCGGACGGGUGAGUAACACGUGGAUAACCUACCUAUAAGACUGGGAUAACUUCGGGAAACCGGAGCUAAUACCGGAUAAUAUAUUGAACCGCAUGGUUCAAUAGUAAAAGAGGGUUUUGCUGUCACUUAUAGAUGGAUCCGCGCCGCAUUAGCUAGGUGGUAAGGUAACGGCUUACCAAGGCAACGAUGCGUAGCCGACCUGAGAGGGUGAUCCGCCACACUGAAACUGAGACACGGUCCAGACUCCUACGGGAGGCAGCAGUAGGGAAUCUUCCGCAAUGGGCGAAAGCCUGACGGAGCAACGCCGCGUGAGUGAUGAAGUUCUUCGGAUCGUAAAACUCUGUAAUUAGGGAAGAACAAAUGUGUAAGUAACUAUGCACGUCUUGACGGUACCUAAUCAGAAAGCCACGGCUAACUACGUG
rnacentral:rRNA from 1 species